UGGGGAAUAUUGGACAAUGGGCGAAAGCCUGAUCCAGCCAUGCCGCGUGUGUGAAGAAGGUCUUCGGAUUGUAAAGCACUUUAAGUUGGGAGGAAGGGCAGUAAGCGAAUACCUUGCUGUUUUGACGUUACCGACAGAAUAAGCACCGGCUAACUCUGUGCCAGCAGCCGCGGUAAUACAGAGGGUGCAGGCGUUAAUCGGAAUUACUGGGCGUAAAGCGCGCGUAGGUGGUUCGUUAAGUUGAAUGUGGAAGCCCCGGGCUCAACCUGGGAACUGCAUCCAAAACUGGCGAGCUAGAGUAGGGCAGAGGGUGGUGGAAUUUCCUGUGUAGCGGUGAAAUGCGUAGAUAUAGGAAGGAACACCAGUGGCGAAGGCGACCACCUGGGCUCAUACUGACACUGAGGUGCGAAAGCGUGGGGAGCAAACAGG
rnacentral:rRNA from 1 species